GUUGACCUCGGAUCAGGUAGGGAUACCCGCUGAACUUAAGCAUAUCAAUAAGC
rnacentral:rRNA from 14 species